GACAGAGGGUGCAAACGUUGUUCGGAAUUACUGGGCGUAAAGCGCACGUAGGCGGUCUUUUAAGUCGGGGGUGAAAUCCUGGAGCUCAACUCCAGAACUGCCUUCGAUACUGGAAGACUUGAGUCCGGGAGAGGUGAGUGGAACUGCGAGUGUAGAGGUGAAAUUCGUAGAUAUUCGCAAGAACACCAGUGGCGAAGGCGGCUCACUGGCCCGGUACUGACGCUGAGGUGCGAAAGCGUGGGGAGCAAACAGGG
rnacentral:rRNA from 1 species